rnacentral:rRNA from 1 species
UACGUAGGGACCAAGCGUUGUCCGGAUUUAUUGGGCGUAAAGAGCUCGUGGGGGGCUGUCAACGUCGGGGGUGAAAGCUCGGGGCUCAACCCUGAGAGGCCAUUCGAUACGGGACGGCUUGAGGCAGCUAGGGGAGAUUGGAAUUCCUGGUGUAGCUGUGAAAUGCGCAGAUAUCAGGAGGAACACCUAUGGCGAAAGCAGGCAUCUGGGCCAUCACUGACGCUGAGCUGCGAAAGCUAGGGGAGCAAACAGG